GACGAACGCUGGCGGCGUGCUUAACACAUGCAAGUCGAACGAAGAGCGACGGAAGCUUGCUUCUAUCAAUCUUAGUGGCGAACGGGUGAGUAACGCGUAAUCAACCUGCCCUUCAGAGGGGGACAACAGUUGGAAACGACUGCUAAUACCGCAUACGAUCUAAUCUCGGCAUCGAGGAUGGAUGUAAGGUGGCCUCUACAUGUAAGCUAUCACUGAAGGCGGGGAUUUCGUCUGUUUAGCUAGUUGGAGGGGUAACGGCCCACCAAGGCGAUGAUCAGUAGGCGGUCUGAGAGGAUGAACGGCCACAUUGGGACGGAGACACGGCCCAGACUACUACGGGAGGCAGCAGUGGGGAAUCUUGCGCAAUGGACGAAAGUCUGAAGGAGCAACGCCGCGUGAGUGAUGACGGCCAUCGGGUUGUAAAGCUCUGUUAAUCGGGAAGAAAGGCCUUCUUGCGAAUAGUGAGAAGGAUUGACGGUACCGGAAGAGAAAGCCACGGCUAACUACGUG
rnacentral:rRNA from 1 species